GGCGAAGUGGUUAACGCAUCGGAUUGUGGUUCCGACACUCGUGGGUUCGAUUCCCAUC
rnacentral:tRNA from 1 species